GAGUUUGAUCCUGGCUCAGAACGAACGCUGGCGGCAGGCUUAACACAUGCAAGUCGAACGCGUGUAGCAAUACACGAGUGGCGCACGGGUGAGUAACGCGUGGAUAUCUGCCUUUUGGUUCGGAAUAACCCCGGGAAACUGGGGCUAAUACCGGAUGGUUCCUUCGGGAUAAAGAUUUAUCGCCAAAAGAUGAGUCCGCGUCCGAUUAGCUAGUUGGUGAGGUAAUGGCUCACCAAGGCGACGAUCGGUAGCUGGUCUGAGAGGACGAUCAGCCACACUGGGACUGAGACACGGCCCAGACUCCUACGGGAGGCAGCAGUGGGGAAUAUUGGACAAUGGGGGCAACCCUGAUCCAGCCAUGCCGCGUGAGUGAUGAAGGCCUUCGGGUUGUUAAAGCUCUUUUGGUCGGGGACGAUGAUGACGGUACCGCAGAAUAAGCCCGGCUAACUUCGUGCCAGCCGCCGCAGUAAC
rnacentral:rRNA from 1 species